GUGGCGUGCCUUUUGAAGAAUGAGCCUGCGAGUUAGUGAUACGUGGCGAGGUUAACCCGUGUGGGGAAGCCGUAGCGAAAGCGAGUCUGAAUAGGGCGAACAUAGUUAGUUUGAGUAGACGCGAAACCGUGUGAUCUACCCUUGGGCAGGUUGAAGCUUUGUUAACCCAAAGUGGAGGACCGAACCCGUUGACGUUGAAAAGUCUUGGGAUGACCUGAGGGUAGGGGUGAAAGGCCAAUCAAACUCGGAAAUAGCUGGUUCUCCGCGAAAUCUAUUUAGGUAGA
rnacentral:rRNA from 1 species